CAGUAGCCGCGGGAACACGUAGGUGGCAAGCGUUGUCCGGAAUUAUUGGGCGUAAAGGGCGCGUAGGCGGGCGAUUUAGUCAGGGGUGAAAUCCCAAGGCUCAACCUUGGAACUGCCUUUGAUACUGAUCGUCUUGAGUUCGAGAGAGGUAAGUGGAACUGCGAGUGUAGAGGUGAAAUUCGUAGGUAUUCGCAAGAACACCAGUGGCGAAGGCGGCUUACUGGCUCGAUACUGACGCUGAGGCGCGAAAGCGUGGGGAGCAAACAGGAUUAGAUACCCGGGUAGUCCCUGUCUCUUAUAA
rnacentral:rRNA from 1 species